GGAUUCAGUGGGGAGAGGUUAAAGGGAUCGGGGCCUCGUCUUCGUCUUCCACCCAAUUGUAACAGUUGCUGAGCAAACGGCGUUAUGUCGAAGCCAAGGGGAUUGCCUCCAAGAAUCACAUUGCAUGGCAACGAGACUGAACUGAUAGGCUAUCAAACAUUGGAACGUAGGCCCUAGAAUACUGCCUGGAAGAGGGGUCUCGGACAUACCACCAGCAAACAAAUCAAUGUCAUCAGGAUGUCUGAAGAGAUCACAAAAUUGGAUGGUAAAGGAAUGUCAAAAAAUCAAAUGCGCCAGUUUUCCUGCGGCUUAGAUUGCAAGUUUUUGUUUCAUAUUCCCGGUUGGAGCUGUUUGUAUAAGGCAUGUCAACCUGAAUUUUCCUACAGCAAAUACAUCAGUACCUGUAUGUUCGUUGAAGUGCCUGUGCAGCGAAUUGGUUGUGAUUGACUAAUCCACCCUGCACCACUGCAAAGAAGUUGGCUCUGGGGAGUCCACAGAACUGUCGGAACCGAUCAGACCUGGAUUUCCGUUCCCGCGACAUCCAGCGGGCCAUACGUUCGUAUCCACCUCUGUACAUUAUGUCUGGAUUUUCAAAAUGUUGACUAACAGGGAAGGACACUGGGGGUCCAUUUCC